UACAGAGGGUGCUAGCGUUGUUCGGAAUGACUGGGCGUAAAGGGCGCGUAGGCGGUUUAUCAAGUCAGAUGUGAAAGCCCCGGGCUUAACCUGGGAACUGCAUUUGAUACUGGUUGACUGGAGUACGAGAGAGGAAAGUGGAAUUCCUAGUGUAGAGGUGAAAUUCGUAGAUAUUAGGAGGAACACCAGAGGCGAAGGCGGCUUUCUGGCGUCGCUAACGAUGCG
rnacentral:rRNA from 1 species